AGAUACCUGAAAAUGUGGAAGCAACAUUGGAACUGGAUAACAGGCAGAGUUUAGAACAGUUUGGAGGGCUCAAAGAAGACAGGAAGAUCUGGGAAAUUCUGGAACUUCCUAGAGACUUGUUCAAUGCCUUUCACCAAAAUGCCGAUAGUGAUAUGGACAAUGAAAUCCAGGCUGAAGUGAUCUCAGAUGGAGAUGGAGAGCUUGUUGGGAACUGGAAUAAGAUUCACUCUUGUUAUGCUUUAGCAAAGAGACUGGCAGCAUUUUGCCUUUGCCCUAG
rnacentral:lncRNA from 1 species